CCUACGGGUGGCAGCAGUGGGGAAUAUUGCGCAAUGGGCGAAAGCCUGACGCAGCGACGCCGCGUGAGGGAUGAAGGUCUUCGGAUCGUAAACCUCUGUCAGCAGGGAAGAACGGUCACUGUGCUAAUCAGCAGUGAAUUGACGGUACCUGCAAAGGACGCACCGGCUAACUCCGUGCCAGCAGCCGCGGUAAUACGGAGGGUGCGAGCGUUAAUCGGAAUUACUGGGCGUAAGGCGCUCGUAGGCGGUAUGUCAAGUCAAGGGUGAAAUCCCCGGGCACAACGUGGGAACGGCCUUUGAAACGGGCAAACGGGAGUUGGAGAGAGGAUAGAGGAAUUCCAGGUGUAGGGGUGAAAGC
rnacentral:rRNA from 1 species